GGUUUGGUAGUUCAGUUGGUUAGAAUGCCUGCCUGUCACGCAGGAGGUCGCGGGUUCGAGUCCCGUCCAGACCGCCU
rnacentral:tRNA from 1 species